rnacentral:rRNA from 1 species
UACGUAGGGACCGAGCGUUGUCCGGAUUCAUUGGGCGUAAAGAGCUCGUAGGCGGCUGCUCAAGUCGAACGUGAAAACUCGGAGCUCAACUCCGAGCCUGCGUUCGAUACUGGACGGCUAGAGUCUGGUAGGGGGGAUCUGGAAUUCCUGGUGUAGCGGUGGGAAUGCGCAGAUAUCAGGAGGAACACCGGUGGCGAAGGCGGUUCUCUGGGCAUUACCUGACGCUGAGGAGCGAAAGUGUGGGGAGCGAACAGG